UUAGCUAAGCAGUUUAUUGAGCGAUUGAACUUUGAAUUGAAGAGUUUGAUCAUGGCUCAGAUUGAACGCUGGCGGCAGGCUUAACACAUGCAAGUCGAACGGUAGCAGGAAGAAAGCUUGCUUUCUUUGCUGACGAGUGGCGGACGGGUGAGUAAUGCUUGGGAAUCUGGCUUAUGGAGGGGGAUAACUGUGGGAAACUGCAGCUAAUACCGCGUAUUCUCUGAGGAGGAAAAGGUGGGACCUUAGGGCCACCUGCCAUAAGAUGAGCCCAAGUGGGAUUAGGUAGUUGGUGGGGUAAAGGCCUACCAAGCCUGCGAUCUCUAGCUGGUCUGAGAGGAUGACCAGCCACACUGGAACUGAGACACGGUCCAGACUCCUACGGGAGGCAGCAGUGGGGAAUAUUGCGCAAUGGGGGGAACCCUGACGCAGCCAUGCCGCGUGAAUGAAGAAGGCCUUCGGGUUGUAAAGUUCUUUCGGUAAUGAGGAAGGGAUGUUGUUAAAUAGAUAGCAUCAUUGACGUUAAUUACAGAAGAAGCACCGGCUAACUCCGUGCCAGCAGCCGCGGUAAUACGGAGGGUGCGAGCGUUAAUCGGAAUAACUGGGCGUAAAGGGCACGCAGGCGGACUUUUAAGUGAGAUGUGAAAUCCCCGAGCUUAACUUGGGAACUGCAUUUCAGACUGGGAGUCUAGAGUACUUUAGGGAGGGGUAGAAUUCCACGUGUAGCGGUGAAAUGCGUAGAGAUGUGGAGGAAUACCGAAGGCGAAGGCAGCCCCUUGGGAAUGUACUGACGCUCAUGUGCGAAAGCGUGGGGAGCAAACAGGAUUAGAUACCCUGGUA
rnacentral:rRNA from 1 species